GAAUGAAAAACAAAUAAAUUGUAUUUAGUUUCGACCUAAAAUAUUGGUGUUGACCCGCCUUCAUUCU
rnacentral:tRNA from 1 species